rnacentral:rRNA from 2 species
UUAAGCGACUAAGCGUACACGGUGGAUGCCCUGGCAGUCAGAGGCGAUGAAGGACGUGCUAAUCUGCGAUAAGCGUCGGUGAGGUGAUAUGAACCGUUAUAACCGGCGAUUUCCGAAUGGGGAAACCCAGUGUGUUUCGACACACUAUCAUUAACUGAAUCCAUAGGUUAAUGAGGCGAACCGGGGGAACUGAAACAUCUAAGUACCCCGAGGAAAAGAAAUCAACCGAGAUUCCCCCAGUAGCGGCGAGCGAACGGGGAGGAGCCCAGAGCCUGAAUCAGUGUGUGUGUUAGUGGAAGCGUCUGGAAAGGCGUGCGAUACAGGGUGACAGCCCCGUACACAAAAAUGCACAUACUGUGAGCUCGAUGAGUAGGGCGGGACACGUGGUAUCCUGUCUGAAUAUGGGGGGACCAUCCUCCAAGGCUAAAUACUCCUGACUGACCGAUAGUGAACCAGUACCGUGAGGGAAAGGCGAAAAGAACCCCGGCGAGGGGAGUGAAAAAGAACCUGAAACCGUGUACGUACAAGCAGUGGGAGCCUCUUAAUGGGGUGACUGCGUACCUUUUGUAUAAUGGGUCAGCGACUUAUAUUCUGUAGCAAGGUUAACCGAAUAGGGGAGCCGAAGGGAAACCGAGUCUUAACUGGGCGUUAAGUUGCAGGGUAUAGACCCGAAACCCGGUGAUCUAGCCAUGGGCAGGUUGAAGGUUGGGUAACACUAACUGGAGGACCGAACCGACUAAUGUUGAAAAAUUAGCGGAUGACUUGUGGCUGGGGGUGAAAGGCCAAUCAAACCGGGAGAUAGCUGGUUCUCCCCGAAAGCUAUUUAGGUAGCGCCUCGUGAAUUCAUCUCCGGGGGUAGAGCACUGUUUCGGCAAGGGGGUCAUCCCGACUUACCAACCCGAUGCAAACUGCGAAUACCGGAGAAUGUUAUCACGGGAGACACACGGCGGGUGCUAACGUCCGUCGUGAAGAGGGAAACAACCCAGACCGCCAGCUAAGGUCCCAAAGUCAUGGUUAAGUGGGAAACGAUGUGGGAAGGCCCAGACAGCCAGGAUGUUGGCUUAGAAGCAGCCAUCAUUUAAAGAAAGCGUAAUAGCUCACUGGUCGAGUCGGCCUGCGCGGAAGAUGUAACGGGGCUAAACCAUGCACCGAAGCUGCGGCAGCGACGCUUAUGCGUUGUUGGGUAGGGGAGCGUUCUGUAAGCCUGUGAAGGUGGCCUGUGAGGGUUGCUGGAGGUAUCAGAAGUGCGAAUGCUGACAUAAGUAACGAUAAAGCGGGUGAAAAGCCCGCUCGCCGGAAGACCAAGGGUUCCUGUCCAACGUUAAUCGGGGCAGGGUGAGUCGACCCCUAAGGCGAGGCCGAAAGGCGUAGUCGAUGGGAAACAGGUUAAUAUUCCUGUACUUGGUGUUACUGCGAAGGGGGGACGGAGAAGGCUAUGUUGGCCGGGCGACGGUUGUCCCGGUUUAAGCGUGUAGGCUGGUUUUCCAGGCAAAUCCGGAAAAUCAAGGCUGAGGCGUGAUGACGAGGCACUACGGUGCUGAAGCGACAAAUGCCCUGCUUCCAGGAAAAGCCUCUAAGCAUCAGGUAACAUCAAAUCGUACCCCAAACCGACACAGGUGGUCAGGUAGAGAAUACCAAGGCGCUUGAGAGAACUCGGGUGAAGGAACUAGGCAAAAUGGUGCCGUAACUUCGGGAGAAGGCACGCUGAUAUGUAGGUGAAGCGACUUGCUCGUGGAGCUGAAAUCAGUCGAAGAUACCAGCUGGCUGCAACUGUUUAUUAAAAACACAGCACUGUGCAAACACGAAAGUGGACGUAUACGGUGUGACGCCUGCCCGGUGCCGGAAGGUUAAUUGAUGGGGUUAGCGGCAACGCGAAGCUCUUGAUCGAAGCCCCGGUAAACGGCGGCCGUAACUAUAACGGUCCUAAGGUAGCGAAAUUCCUUGUCGGGUAAGUUCCGACCUGCACGAAUGGCGUAAUGAUGGCCAGGCUGUCUCCACCCGAGACUCAGUGAAAUUGAACUCGCUGUGAAGAUGCAGUGUACCCGCGGCAAGACGGAAAGACCCCGUGAACCUUUACUAUAGCUUGACACUGAACAUUGAGCCUUGAUGUGUAGGAUAGGUGGGAGGCUUUGAAGUGUGGACGCCAGUCUGCAUGGAGCCGACCUUGAAAUACCACCCUUUAAUGUUUGAUGUUCUAACGUUGGCCCGUAAUCCGGGUUGCGGACAGUGUCUGGUGGGUAGUUUGACUGGGGCGGUCUCCUCCUAAAGAGUAACGGAGGAGCACGAAGGUUGGCUAAUCCUGGUCGGACAUCAGGAGGUUAGUGCAAUGGCAUAAGCCAGCUUGACUGCGAGCGUGACGGCGCGAGCAGGUGCGAAAGCAGGUCAUAGUGAUCCGGUGGUUCUGAAUGGAAGGGCCAUCGCUCAACGGAUAAAAGGUACUCCGGGGAUAACAGGCUGAUACCGCCCAAGAGUUCAUAUCGACGGCGGUGUUUGGCACCUCGAUGUCGGCUCAUCACAUCCUGGGGCUGAAGUAGGUCCCAAGGGUAUGGCUGUUCGCCAUUUAAAGUGGUACGCGAGCUGGGUUUAGAACGUCGUGAGACAGUUCGGUCCCUAUCUGCCGUGGGCGCUGGAGAACUGAGGGGGGCUGCUCCUAGUACGAGAGGACCGGAGUGGACGCAUCACUGGUGUUCGGGUUGUCAUGCCAAUGGCACUGCCCGGUAGCUAAAUGCGGAAGAGAUAAGUGCUGAAAGCAUCUAAGCACGAAACUUGCCCCGAGAUGAGUUCUCCCUGAGACUUAGAGUCUCCUGAAGGAACGUUGAAGACGACGACGUUGAUAGGCCGGGUGUGUAAGCGCAGCGAUGCGUUGAGCUAACCGGUACUAAUGAACCGUGAGGCUUAACCUU